AGUCCAUGAUGCGGGCAAUUUUUGAUCAUCAUAUUAAAGCGCUCAAAGGCUUCAUGAAACAUUUCGCCUUGUUGUUUUUGGAAACUCCUCAACCCUUUUCUAGCAU
rnacentral:snoRNA from 1 species